GAUGAAGAACGUAGCGAAAUGCGAUAAGUAAUGUGAAUUGCAGAAUUCAGUGAAUCAUCGAAUCUUUGAACGCACCUUGCGCCCUUUGGCCAUUCCGAAGGGCAUGCCUGUUUGAGUAUCAUGAACACCUCAACUCUUUAUGGUUUUCCAUGAUGAGCUUGGACUUUGGGGGUUUUGCUGGCCUAUGGUCGGCUCCUCUAAAAUAAAUCAGCUUACCAGUGUUUGGUGGGUAUCAUGGGUGUGAUAACUAUCUACGCUUGUGGUUUUCCGCCAGGUAACCUUCGACAGCGGAGGUUCACUGGAGCUCAUAGAUGUCUCUCCUCAGCGAGGACAGCCCUUUGAAUGUUUGAUCUCAAAUCAGGUAGGACUACCCGCUGAACUUAAGCAUAUCAAUAGGAGGA
rnacentral:misc_RNA from 1 species